AGUGAACGCUGGCGGUAGGCCUAACACAUGCAAGUCGAACGGCAGCACAGGAGAGCUUGCUCUCUGGGUGGCGAGUGGCGGACGGGUGAGGAAUACAUCGGAAUCUACUUUUUCGUGGGGGAUAACGUAGGGAAACUUACGCUAAUACCGCAUACGACCUACGGGUGAAAGCAGGGGAUCUUCGGACCUUGCGCGAUUGAAUGAGCCGAUGUCGGAUUAGCUAGUUGGCGGGGUAAAGGCCCACCAAGGCGACGAUCCGUAGCUGGUCUGGGAGGAUGGGCAGCCAAACUGGACUUGAGACACGGUCGAGACUCCUACGGGAGGCAGCAGUGGGGAAUAUUGGACAAUGGGCGCAAGCCUGAGCCAGCCAUACCGCGUGGGUGAAGAAGGCCUUCGGGUUGUAAAGCCCUUUUGUUGGGAAAGAAAUCCAGCUGGUUAAUACCCGGUUGGGAUGACGGUACCCAAAGAAUAAGCACCGGCUAACUUCGUGCCAGCCGCCGCCGUAA
rnacentral:rRNA from 1 species